GACGAACGCUGGCGGCGUGCUUAACACAUGCAAGUCGAACGGAAAGGCCUCUUUCGGGGGGUACUCUCGUGGCGAACGGGUGAGUAACACGUGAGUAACCUGCCCUUUACAUUUGGAUAACUUCAGGAAACUGUGGCUAAUACCGGAUAGGAGCUCCUGCUGCACGGUGGGGGUUGGAGAGUUUCUGGGGUGGGGGAUGGACUCGCGGCUUAUCUGCUUGUUUGUGGGGUAGUGGCUUAUCAAAGCUUUGUGGGGUAGCCGGCCUGUGAGGGUGAACGGCCAAAUUGGGAAUUGGGAUCGGCCCAGACUCCUACGGGGAGCAGCAGUGGGGGAAAUUGGCAAAUGGGUGGGAGCCCGAUGGCAGCACGCCCUGUGCGGGAAGGCGGGCUUUGGGUUGUAAACCGCUUUCGGUCAUGAACAAGCUGUGUGUGACGGUAGUGGGUAAAGAAGCACCGGCUAACUACGUG
rnacentral:rRNA from 1 species